UACGAAGGGGCUAGCGUUGCUCGGAAUUACUGGGCGUAAGCGCACGUAGGCGGCUUCUAAGUCGGGGUGAAAUCCUGGAGCUCAACUCCAGAACUGCCUUCGAUACUGGAGAGCUCGAGUCCGGGAGAGGUGAGUGGAACUGCGAGUGUAGAGGUGAAAUUCGUAGAUAUUCGCAAGAACACCAGUGGCGAAAGGCGGCUCACUGGCCCGAUACUGACGCUGAGGCACGAAAGCGUGGGGAGCAAACAGGG
rnacentral:rRNA from 1 species